rnacentral:ncRNA from 1 species
CGUGCCGUCGGAGCAGAUGCGAAGCUCCGACGAGUAGGAGGGCGUGGGGGUCGUGACGCAGCCUCUGGCGCGAGCCUGGGUGAAACGGCCUCCAGUGCAGAUCUUGGU